AGCAUAUCAAUAAGCGGAGGAAAAGAAACCAACAGGGAUUGCCUUAGUAACGGCGAGUGAAGCGGCAAAAGCUCAAAUUUGAAAUCUAGCACUUUCAGUGUUCGAGUUGUAAUUUGAAGAAGGUAACUUUCGAGUUGGCUCUUGUCUAUGUUCCUUGGAACAGGACGUCACAGAGGGUGAGAAUCCCGUGCGAUGAGAUGCCCAAUUCUUAGUAAAGUGCUUUCGAAGAGUCGAGUUGUUUGGGAAUGCAGCUCUAAGUGGGUGGUAAAUUCCAUCUAAAGCUAAAUAUUGGCGAGAGACCGAUAGCGAACAAGUACAGUGAUGGAAAGAUGAAAAGAACUUUGAAAAGAGAGUGAAAAAGUACGUGAAAUUGUUGAAAGGGAAGGGCUUGAGAUCAGACUUGGUAUUUUGUGUGCCUUUCCUUUUUGGUUGGGUUUCUGCAGCUUACUGGGCCAGCAUCGGUUUGGGUGGUAGGAUAAUGACAUUGGAAUGUAGCUUCGCUUCGGUGAAGUGUUAUAGACUUUGUUGAUACUAUCUAUCUAGACCGAGGACUGCGUCUUUGACUAGGAUGCUGGCGUAAUGAUCUUAAGCCGCCCGUCUUGAAACACGGACCAAGGAGUCUAACGUCUAUGCGAGUGUUUGGGUGUAAAACCCGUACGCGUAAUGAAAGUGAACGUAGAUGAGAGCCUUCGGGUGCAUCAUCGACCGAUCCUGAUGUCUUCGGAUGGAUUUGAGUAAGAGCAUAGCUGUUGGGACCCGAAAGAUGGUGAACUAUGCCUGAAUAGGGUGAAGCCAGAGGAAACUCUGGUGGAGGCUCGUAGCGGUUCUGACGUGCAAAUCGAUCGUCGAAUUUGGGUAUAGGGGCGAAAGACUAAUCGAACCAUCUAGUAGCUGGUUCCUGCGA
rnacentral:rRNA from 1 species